UGUGGUCUGUCUACCGGUGGUGCAUGGCUGUCGGCAGCUCGUGUCGUGAGAUGUUGGGUUAAGUCCCGCAACGACCGCAACCCUUGUCUUAUGUUGCCAGCACGUCAUGGUGGGGACUCGUGGGAGACUGCCGGGGUCAACUCGAAGGAAGGUGGGGAUGACGUCAAGUCAUCAUGCCCCUUAUGUCCAGGGCUUCACACAUGCUACAAUGGCCGGUACAAAGGGCUGCGAUACCGUGAGGUGGAGCGAAUCCCUUAAAGCCGGUCUCAGUUCGGAUUGGGGGCUGCAACUCCACCCCCUGAAAUCGGAGUCGCUAGUAAUCGCAGAUCAACAACGCUGC
rnacentral:rRNA from 1 species